GCUGGUCACGCAUCCCCCUUCGCCAAUCGCGACGUCUUUGCCGCCGAUUUCCAGACCAGUCGCUCCUCCCUCAUCGGUCGUGGCUUCUUCCGCCUCCGCCGCCGUCAACCUCCUCGCCGGUUGCAGCUAGCGUUUGCGGAUGAGAUGAGUUAUGAUGACGAGGAGGUGAAAUAUGAGAUGAUCGAAAAAUGCAACCCAACCACCAGC
rnacentral:lncRNA from 1 species